AAACAUCGCCUCCUGCCACCACUCAUUAUAGGAGGUCCCGCCUGCCCUGUGACCAAAAGUUUAACGGCCGCGGUAUUUUAACCGUGCAAAGGUAGCGCAAUCAAUUGUCUUUUAAAUGGAGACCUGUAUGAAUGGCAUAACGAGGGUUUAACUGUCUCUUUUUCCUAGUCAAUGAAACUGAUCUACCCGUGCAGAAGCGGGUAUGCACACACAAGACGAGAAGACCCUAUGGAGCUUUAGACGCCAACCAGCUACGAAAAGCGACCACUGACUGGAUCCUCAGACAACGUAAUUAUGGCACAAACGUCUUCGGUUGGGGCGACCACGGGAGAUAACAAAGCUCCCGAGUGGAUAGGGGGAUACCCUAAAACCCAGAGCCACAGCUCUAAGUCACAAAAUAUUUGACCAAUAAUGAUCCGGCUUUAUGCCGACCAACGGACCAAGUUACCCUAGGGAUAACAGCGCAAUCCCCUCCCAGAGUCCAUAUCGACGAGGGGGUUUACGACCUCGAUGUUGGAUCAGGACAUCCUAAUGGUGCAGCCGCUAUUAAGGGUUCGUUUGUUCAACGAUUAA
rnacentral:rRNA from 1 species